CCUACGGGAGGCAGCAGUAGGGAAUAUUGCACAAUGGGGGAAACCCUGAUGCAGCGACGCCGCGUGAGUGAAGAAGGAUUUCGGUAUGUAAAGCUCUAUCAGCAGGGAAGAAGAAAGACGGUACCUGACUAAGAACACCCGGCUAACUACGUGCCAGCACCCGCGGUAUUACGUAGGGGGCAAGCGUUCUCCGGAUUUACUGGGUGGAAAGGGGGCGUAGACGGGUGUGCAAGUCUGAAGUGAAAGCCCAGGGCUCAACCCUGGGACUGCUUUGGAAACUGUGGAGCUAGAGUGCUGGAGAGGUAAGUGGAAUUCCUAGUGUAGCGGUGAAAUGCGUAGAUAUUAGGAGGAACACCAGUGGCGAAGGCGGCUUACUGGACUGUAACUGACGCUGAGGCUCGAAAGCGUGGGGAGCAAACAGGAUUAGAUACCCUAGUAGUC
rnacentral:rRNA from 1 species